GCAUCGGACGAUGAUUCUGUAGGCCUAAUUCUGAGAGACCUAAUUCUGAGAGGUCCUUGCUGUCUACAAACGAAAGAACGCCAACACCAAAUACGAAACAAACUACACCCAGUGAGGUUUUCAUUCAAGUUGAACUGUUGCAGACGUCAAAUAUUUUUGGACUCCAAUCUAUACAGUGGGAUGGCGAGGAAAUGUCAGUCGACAGAGAUGAACCACAGUUAUCAUUAGUAAGCCGAGGUGCUGAAGUUAUACUUCUGUCGAAGAAGAUCUUCCUCAAAUACGCCAACGAUACAUUGAAAAUCGCAGUGAAGACGCUGUCAAGGCCUUACCCUAAUGCUGAAACAAUGCAGAAGAAUUUACAGAUUCAAGUCAACUGGGACCUGUAUCGCGAGACGGUCCUUGCGGAUUACUUGAAGUACAGCAAAGACAGGCAAUGGCGAAAAACAAAACUGUAGCAUAGAUGCCGCAAUUCUGUUGUUUAUGAUUGUUUUAAGAUGUAUAUACAGUCAAACAUGUGUUAAUUAGUAUUCUACGGACUAUAAAUCAAACAGAUAGAUUUGAUAUUUUGGGAGAAUAUUAAGUUAUGAAUAUCUAUGUAGAUUGCCAAGUGAUCAAGUUUGACUGAAUAUAUAAACAAGUUGAGAGAUGUUCCAGAAAUGACUGGGCAGGCUUCGGCGUUGAAGUAUUUAAGCCAUCAAACUCAAGGCUGGUAGGCACUGGGUUCGUAUCCCGGUACAGACUCACACCCAGAAUAAGUUUUAAUGAAUAGGUAUAAGGCGAAUACACCGAAUACUCUCUCACUAACCACCGACCCAUAGUUUGUACCCACGACGAGCGUCUUUCAAUCAUAAUUGGAUGUAUGGAUGUUAAAUCGAUUCCUACCUGCAAGUAAAUUGAGCACCACCUGAAGUGGCGUCUAGAAGUUAGUAUCUGUAUCAACGGAGUUUAAACCAGAUAUUAAGAGUUUUUACAUAUUCAAUACAUACUGGGUAUUUACCGAGAUGACAUGAAUUAAUUACUUUUGGGAAGCACAUCAGAGUGAUUCCAGCUCCAUAGUUAAUUACCAUACAUUUCCAUACAAAUUUACUGUUUCUUGCGAUCGGGUUUUUUCUUUGUCUAGAAUACAUUAAAUGAUGCAACAACAGUGUAUCUUACUGUCAUAAAUCUCCUUAAAUAUCCUCUGUAUACAAAGGCAGCGCUUCUAGAACGUUUAUAAAACCUACUAGCCAUUGGAUCAGUGAUUUUAAACAUUUACUAGCCACGAUUAAAAAUUCACUAGCCCUACUUUUCUUUAAGUUAAUAAAAGUUUACUAAAUAAUAGUA